AACGUAGGAGGCAAGCGUUAUCCGGAGUUACUGGGCGUAAAGCGCGUGUAGGUGGAUCGGUAAGUUACUUAUAAAAGCUCCUGGCUAAACUAGGAGAGGUUGAGUGAUACUGCCAGUCUUGAAUAGAGGAGAGGUUGACGGAAUUCCGCGUGUAGUGGUGAAAUGCGUAGAGAUGCGGAAGAACACCAGUGGCGAAGGCGGUCAACUGGCCUCAUAUUGACACUCAGACGCGAAGGCAUGGGUAGCGAAC
rnacentral:rRNA from 1 species